ensembl:antisense Gm20548 predicted gene 20548
AAAGGGAAGGUGGAGAGAGAGAAGAAGGAGAAAAUGGAAGAGGGAGAGGAUGCAGAGGAGGAGGAAGAAGAAGAAAAGCGGAACAGAAGCACAAGGUGCGUGUGCACACGUGGGAAGCACAUUCCCCAAGCUGUCUCCUCGGCCAGCCUGGACUCCCCAGGAUGUCUGCUCCAAGUACGAAUGUGUAGAAUCACUGCUGUCGUCAUCUUGGGCUUGCUGCCCUGGUUCCCUACCACCUUCAAACAUCUCUCAAAGGAGGGAUCCCCAGGGAAAAGUGUGAGCAAGUGGAACCGAAAGCUGCCAAGGGACAGCUUUGAUCUGCAAUGAGGCAGGCUGCCCUUCAGUCUCAUCUCCAGUACACAGUCCUUCUCCGUGGACUUUGCCCUUUUGCAAAAUGGCCACAGUAUGCAUGCACGCGGAAGAUGGCACUCGCUGUCUCAACGCUCUGAGUCCUGCCCUCC